GACGAACCGUGCAAACGUUGUUCGGAAUCACUGGGCUUAAAGGGCGCGUAGGCGGCUUGCCAAGUCAGGGGUGAAAUCUUUCGGCUUAACCGGAAAAGUGCCUUUGAUACUGGCGAGCUUGAGCGAGGUAGGGGCAUGUGGAACUUCCGGUGGAGCGGUGAAAUGCGUUGAUAUCGGAAGGAACGCCGGUGGCGAAAGCGACGUGCUGGACCUCUUCUGACGCUGAGGCGCGAAAGCUAGGGGAGCGAACGGG
rnacentral:rRNA from 1 species